AACGAACGCUGGCGGCAUGCCUAACACAUGCAAGUCGAACGAGACCUUCGGGUCUAGUGGCGCACGGGUGAGUAACGCGUGGGAACCUGCCCUUAGGUUCGGAAUAACUCCCCGAAAGGGGUGCUAAUACCGGAUAAUGUCUUCGGACCAAAGAUUUAUCGCCUUUGGAUGGGCCCGCGUUGGAUUAGCUAGUUGGUAGGGUAAAAGCCUACCAAGGCGACGAUCCAUAGCUGGUCUGAGAGGAUGAUCAGCCACACUGGGACUGAGACACGGCCCAGACUCCUACGGGAGGCAGCAGUGGGGAAUAUUGGACAAUGGGCGAAAGCCUGAUCCAGCAAUGCCGCGUGAGUGAUGAAGGCCUUAGGGUUGUAAAGCUCUUUUACCCGGGACGAUAAUGACAGUACCGGGAGAAUAAGCUCCGGCUAACUCCGUG
rnacentral:rRNA from 1 species